rnacentral:rRNA from 1 species
UGAUCCGGUGGUUCUGAAUGGAAGGGCCAUCGCUCAACGGAUAAAAGGUACUCCGGGGAUAACAGGCUGAUACCGCCCAAGAGUUCAUAUCGACGGCGGUGUUUGGCACCUCGAUGUCGGCUCAUCACAUCCUGGGGCUGAAGUAGGUCCCAAGGGUAUGGCUGUUCGCCAUUUAAAGUGGUACGCGAGCUGGGUUUAGAACGUCGUGAGACAGUUCGGUCCCUAUCUGCCGUGGGCGCUGGAGAACUGAGGGGGGCUGCUCCUAGUACGAGAGGACCGGAGUGGACGCAUCACUGGUGUUCGGGUUGUCAUGCCAAUGGCACUGCCCGGUAGCUAAAUGCGGAAGAGAUAAGUGCUGAAAGCAUCUAAGCACGAAACUUGCCCCGAGAUGAGUUCUCCCUGACUCCUUGAGAGUCCUGAAGGAACGUUGAAGACGACGACGUUGAUAGGCCGGGUGUGUAAGCGCAGCGAUGCGUUGAGCUAACCGGUACUAAUGAACCGUGAGGCUUAACCUUACAACGCCGAAG